CCUGUUUCAGCAUUAAUCUGUACCAAUCGAUUGGGUCCAAGAUUGGGGCCUUGAGGAAUCUAUGUGACCUCCAUUUCAACGAAAACAAUAGUAGUAUUUUGUCAAGCAACUUUAUAAGAAAGCAACUGUAGUUAGUAGGCCAUGAUACAAUAACCUGUUUUGGUCAGAGAAUUGUUUGAAGUUGAUCGCUCGCAUUUGCAAAUUGAGGUUUAAAAUAUGUAGGUCUUUACGAUACUGUGUAUGUUGUCUCUUGACGGAGAGCAUCUUUACUUGAAUGACCUGGUAUAGAAACGACAAUUCCUAGAGAAAAUCUGACCUAUCGAGAGGCAUUUUCCUGCGGAAAUUGAGAAACUGCAUUUAUCCCAGCACCAAAAUGCUAUGUGACCCCAUUUCCUUGGCCCAAGAGCCGUGAGUAUGCUCCAUAUGCUCCAUUUUCCAGGAGGAGGGACAAUGUUUCCAGAUGGAGCAAAGCUCUCACAUUGAUGAACUUGCAUCUUGCAUAUUUAUUUCAUUUACAGUGUUUGCCAUGCUGCAAGAUGCAUCAGCAUCACAUUUAAUUAGUAUCCAAUCCACGCACACAUUUUUUGAUUUUUUUUGCUGCUCAAUUGGUAGAAAGUCUCACAGGGAGGAGAGCCGUUCAUCGAAUUGUUAGACUAGUAACUCCAGUACAUUUAUUACACUUCCCUUUGCACAAACCUGUAGAUGCUACGAAACAACUAAACUAUGAUCUUGGCAAUGUGACUUUUAUACCUGAUCUAAAGAGUUCGGAACACAAAUUGCAAGAUAAUCCGUAAGACAGUAAGUAGCCUACAAUUUAAUCCGUACUCUGGACACAAUGAUAUGUGCAUGAGACUUUCCAGUUUCAAAUUCUUCAACUGUCUGGGUUAACCAUCUCGACAUAUUUCAGUUGUACGGCUUGUUGUAAAAUCCAGUGUGGUAUGGUGUGCCAGUGCCACCAUGCUUUGUUUGAAGCAUUUGAAGCCCACAGUUUAGGAUUUUUGCUUCUGUAUAUGUCGAACUUUGUUUGAAACAUUUGAAGCCCACCCAUGCUUGGUCAAGCUAUCUGCUGAUGUUUUUCCGUCAGGCAACCACCACGUGCGGCAGAGCACUAGAAGAGAGGCCGGAGGAGGGGAGAUCGAAGGGAGCAGUCAGGAGACGGAAGGAAAAGUAGGGAGGUGAUGCAGAGGGUGGGGUAUGAAGGGAAAGAGAUAAAUGGCAUGACGAGGAAAGACGAGUAGCACAAAUAUUUGAGCCAUCUACAGCUGGGGAUUGGAUUCUAACUCUACGAAAGGAACAAGUUUGCACAUGGCAACAAGUUUGUACAACAUACUGAGGUGGCUCUGUCUUCUUGAAAACAUAUUCUAGAUGUCACAGAUGAAGUCUUUGAGGAGCCACGAUCAUGUAAAAUGAACAAAAGCUACCUUUGUUACAACCUUGAUUUGGCUUCAUCUCGUUUGCUCGCUUGUAUGCGUUGAACUGGGACUCGAAGUACAAAUCUUGUGCUAGUUCUCCGUAAUGGAGCAGAGGCCACAAAAUGCUAUUUGAGUAACCAUUGUGAUACUUCUGAACAAUAUAUUUUCCUGGGAAUACGGACACGUAUCCCUGUUUUAUGCCAUAGUUAAGCAUACUUAACCAUGCUAUUUAUCACCACAAAGGAGUACUAUACCGUAUUGAAUCAGUGUUAUUAGCAUCCACAAUAGGGUGCUUAGAGCUUAGACACAUACGCUAGGGAUUAAAUCCCAGCCAUUUUGCCAAGUUCCUGGUUGUUUUCGUAGCAUCAACGCUGAAUUCAGCUUCCAGGCGACUGGUGCUUGGUUGCAUGUGUAACUGACCUGAUAAGCGUUUACCUAAGCUUCAUGGCUUUGUGGGUGCUCUAAGUAGGAAAUUUAUUGCAACAAAGUUAAGUAGGCAACCAUUUCCUUAUUGUCCAAUGAUUCCAACAAAAAAACCAGCCAAGAGAUGGAUCUUAAUUUUAAUAACCACAAGGUUUAAGUUCUGCAACAAAUCUUGAUUGCGAAUUGAUUGGUAAGGUCUUGUUGAUCAGCCUCCUAUGGCACGUCGAUGCCGGCCUAGCCGAUCCACGUCAUAUUGACGUCCUUCACACCUGCAUAAUUACAAGGCAAUUGCAUAAGGAAAUACUGUCAAAAAAAAAAUUUACCCGAAUUAGUUCCAGCUCAAUUACCGUGUGGUGGUCUAGCUAGCCUCCUACACGGUAAUUGAGCCCGAACUAAUUCGGGUAAUGUUUUUUUGGACUGCAUUUCUUUAUGCAAUUGCCGUAUGUGUGAAGGACAUCAAUAUGACAUGGAUCGACUGGGCUGGCGUCUACGUCCUACGGGAGGCUGAUCAAAGACCUUGCCAAUCAAUUUACAAUCAAGGUUUGUUGCAAAACUUAAAUCUGGAGGUUAUUAAAAUUCAGAUCUGUCUCUUAGCUAGUUUUUUUUGGAAUCAUUGGCCAAUAACGAAACGGUUGCGUACUUUAAUUUGUGGCGAUAAACUGCCUACUUAGAGCACCCACAAAACCAUGGCGCUUAGGUAAACACUUAUCAGGUCAGUUACACAUGUGGCCAAGAGUUGGCUGCCUGGAAGUUAUAUUUACUCUUAUUUUAGCGCUGAUGCUAGGAAAAUGACCAGAACUGGGAAAAACGGCUAGAAUUUAAUCUCUAGCGCUUGUGUGUAAGUACCCUAUUAUGGAUGCUCUUACGAGUUAUUCAAUAUAGUAUGGUACUUCUUUGUGGUGAUAAAUUUCAUGUUUAAGUGUGCUUCACUAUGGAAUAUGUGUGUCCGUAUUCCCGGGCAAAGAUAUUGUUCAGGAGUAUCACAAAGGUUACUCGAAUAGCAUUUUGUGGCCUCUGCUCCACUACAGAGAACUAACAGAAGAUGCAUACUUAAGAGUCCCAGUUCAACGCAUACAAGCGAGCAAACCAGAUGUUCGCCGAUGUUGUAUACCAGCACAACAAGUCAAGUGAUGUUAUAUCGGCACAUGAUUAUCACCUCAUGUGGUUUCCGAAAUGUAUCAAGGAAAAAGACAUCAACAUCAAGGUCGGGUGGUUUAUCCACACCUCUUCCCCAGCAUGGAGAUGUUCCGGAUGCUGCCACACCACACAAAGCUGGUUUGCUCACUACUUUCUGCUGAUUUAGUCGGGUACGUAACAGGUCGAAUUUUAAUACAUACUAAUAUUUUUUGUUGAAAUUGGCUGUGUUGAAAAAGCACAACUGUUUUAUCUCAACCCCCUAUACUCAUUCUCAUAUUAUCUCUGUCUAUAAAAGAAUGUCUAAAUUCGGAUGUAUCUACACACUCUUUAGUGUAUAGAUACAUCUAAAUUUAGACAAACAUCCGAAAUCUUUUUAUGGACGGAGGGAGUAUUUCUCAUUCAUGAUUAACGUAUAUCUUCUACCAUUUUGCAAAUGCUCUCUUUACACGUAAAAGAAUCAGCUGUUUCAUCGGAUAAGUCCUGGCGCCAGGGACGCACACCUGCCCGGCCACUGUGAGGACGUCCACGUUGUCCAGCCAGUGGAGCACGGCCAGCAGGGCGUCGUGUGGCAGCUCCAUGCAGUCCCUAGUCGCCUCUUUCUCCUCCUCUGGCGGAAGGGCCUCCAGCUCCAGGAAGACCGAAGGCCUGGCCGUGGCCAUCGUGUCGUGUACUCCUGUCGUGUGCAGGAGGAGGCAGGCAGCGUGUACGGGAAUGAGCGAGCGACCGUCUCGUCUCUGGUGCCUCGACUGAAUUUAAGGUAAUCAACAUCGCAUUUUCCGAUCUGAUUUCCGGAAGAAACGUGACAGCCCAGGGCGGUGCCAGGCCUUCUGCGGCUAGCGCGCCGUGAACGACAACAUCCUUGUCUCCUCCCCGACGGGCGCCUCCGCUGAGGAGCCUUCGGAUCAUCUCCGGCGACAUGAUCGUCGACAAUAGGCUCAAGCUCACAGUCACAAAGUUCACUCUGCUGGAGGAGCUGGAGCUGUGCACGGGGAC